GUGCUCCGCCGACAGCCGAUGCGUAUGUACGCGCGCUGCACGCUCUCGCGCCCGCGACACGCGCACCACUGACGCGAUCGCGAUCUGCAUCCCUUUUUGUUUAUUUUUCGCGCGCGUCCUUCGGGCCGUUUUGUGUUUCGGAGGCAGAGAGACGAAGAAAAAAAGGAGGCGCGGAUGGAUCAAGCGACCGGAGAAGAUCGGUGCAGGCCGUACGGAUAACACCGGCCAGCCUCCGCCUCAUGAAACAACAGCAAGAGAACUCAAGAACAAAAUUAACCAAAAGCCACGAAAGCCUCAAAACCAAAGCCUCCAGUCAUAUCUGUCGUUUCAAAAAUAAAUAUAUAUGCACUAUUUUUUAAACCUUUUAACGAUUUAACUUUACGCAAAUAGUAUACGCUAACUCCCAAACAGUACAAAUUAAUUUAAGUCUGAAGUGAUCGGUAUUUACAAUAAAAGAAGCCUUCAAAAAAUUUAAAAGAUAAUCUAUCAACGACCAGUAUUUUAACGUUCCAAAACAAAAUAGAUCGUUAAACGAGUGCACAAAUAUUUUAUUAAUAGUUAAAAAAAAAAUAACAAGAAGAAACAAUUCCUCGAGCAUUUUCUAAAAAAGUCAGCCAAAGAUUUUUAUAAUACGUAGCUAUAAGACUCGUAUAACUGCCUGUUGUUAAGGACUUUUUAUAUUAUUUAUUUCAAAGUGAGAAAACGAAGAUAUUGUGAUUAGUGUAGUGUCAACCGGUGUGCCGUAUAAUCGUAACGUAAGUGCUAUUUAGGAUAUCGCCGACAAAACGAAACCACUUCAAAGAGUACAAAUUAUCAAGUUCCAGUUGAGUUCCCAGUGUUCAGUACAACGUAAAUAGACUUAGUAGAGCUU
rnacentral:misc_RNA from 1 species